rnacentral:rRNA from 1 species
ACGCUCGACACCUACGGGAGGCAGCAGUGAGGGAUAUUGGUCAAUGGGGGAAACCCUGAACCAGCAACGCCGCGUGAGGGAUGGCGGUCUUCGGAUUGUAAACCUCUGUCCUCUGUGAAGAUAAUGACGGUAGCAGAGGAGGAAGCUCCGGCUAACUACGUGUCAGCAGCCGCGGUAAUCUGAGCGGCUGGCAAGGC